CAGCCGCCGCGGGAAUACGAAGGGGGCUAGCGUUGCUCGGAAUGACUGGGCGUAAAGGGCGCGUAGGCGGCGGCCAAAGUCAGGCGUGAAAUUCCCGGGCUCAACCUGGGGGCUGCGUUUGAUACUUGGUUGCUUGAGUGGGGAAGAGGGUCGUGGAAUUCCCAGUGUAGAGGUGAAAUUCGUAGAUAUUGGGAAGAACACCGGUGGCGAAGGCGGCGGCCUGGUCCUUUACUGACGCUGAGGCGCGAAAGCGUGGGGAGCAAACAGGAUUAGAGACCCCCGUAGUCCCUGUCUCUUAUAC
rnacentral:rRNA from 1 species